rnacentral:rRNA from 1 species
UACAGAGGUCUCAAGCGUUGUUCGGAUUCAUUGGGCGUAAAGGGUGCGUAGGUGGCGUGGUAAGUCGGAUGUGAAAUCCCGGGGCUCAACCCCGGAACUGCAUUCGAUACUGCCAUGCUAGAGUACUGGAGAGGAGAUUGGAAUUUACGGUGUAGCAGUGAAAUGCGUAGAUAUCGUAAGGAAGACCAGUGGCGAAGGCGGAUCUCUGGACAGUUACUGACACUGAGGCACGAAGGCCAGGGGAGCAAACGGG